CAUAAUGGCUGUGGAAACAUCCGAGUUGAUGACCACAUAAUACUGAUAUCGAUAUGGAAAUAUUCGCAAAAUUAAGAGUGAAUAUUGAAAGGAGAGUGAAAUAUAAACUUGAUAGCUUACCAAGGCGAUAAUAAGUAGUUGGUCUGAGAGGAUGACCAACCACAUUGGAACUGAGACACGACCCAGACUCCUACGGGAGGCAGCAAUGUGGAAUUUUCCGCAAUGGGCAAAAGCUUGACGGA
rnacentral:rRNA from 1 species